rnacentral:rRNA from 1 species
AUUGAACGCUGGCGGCAUGCCUUACACAUGCAAGUCGAACGGUAACGGGCCUUCGGGUGCCGACGAGUGGCGAACGGGUGAGUAAUACAUCGGAACGUGCCCGAUCGUGGGGGAUAACGAGGCGAAGGCUUUGCUAAUACCGCAUACGAUCUACGGAUGAAAGCAGGGGACCGCAAGGCCUUGCGCGGACGGAGCGGCCGAUGGCAGAUUAGGUAGUUGGUGGGAUAAAAGCUUACCAAGCCGACGAUCUGUAGCUGGUCUGAGAGGAUGAUCAGCCACACUGGGACUGAGACACGGCCCAGACUCCUACGGGAGGCAGCAGUGGGGAAUUUUGGACAAUGGGCGCAAGCCUGAUCCAGCCAUGCCGCGUGCAGGAUGAAGGCCUUCGGGUUGUAAACUGCUUUUGUACGGAACGAAAAGCCUUCUUUUAAUACAGGAGGGUCAUGACGGUACCGUAAGAAUAAGCACCGGCUAACUACGUG